rnacentral:ncRNA from 2 species
AUGGCUCGAAUGAAAAUGGGUACCCCUGUCCUGGAGGAAGUUGGCCAGGGGAUAAUCGGGAAGUAUGGUGAGGCCUCGCGCCGAUCCCAUCGCUGCCCCCGCAACGGUAAUGAGUGAAACGCCUGCGACGACCACUGGCAUCCGCCGGGAAGGUGCAGGCGACGGCACGGCGCCGAGACGAUCUGCGCCAGGCCCUCCUCGAGCCCGGAGACCGGCCCAUUAUUUCGUUCAUCC